UACCCGCAGCACAAGUGGUGGUCAUUAUUAUUGGGCCUAAAGCGUCCGUAGCUGGCUUGUUAGAUGCCUGGGUAAAUCGAUGCGCUCAACGCAUCGACUUCCGGGUAGACCGGCAAGCUCGAGACCGGGAGAGGUGUAGGCUACUCGGGGGGUAGGGGUAAAAUCCUGUAAUCCUCCAGGGAGGACCAGUGGCGAAGGCGCUACACUAGAACGGCUCUGACAGUGAGGGACGAAGCCCUGGGGCGCAAACCGG
rnacentral:rRNA from 1 species